rnacentral:rRNA from 1 species
AGUGAACGCUGGCGGUAGGCCUAACACAUGCAAGUCGAACGGCAGCACAGUAAGAGCUUGCUCUUACGGGUGGCGAGUGGCGGACGGGUGAGGAAUACAUCGGAAUCUACUUUUUCGUGGGGGAUAACGUAGGGAAACUUACGCUAAUACCGCAUACGACCUACGGGUGAAAGCAGUGGAUCUUCGGACCUUGCGCGAUUGAAUGAGCCGAUGUCGGAUUAGCUAGUUGGCGGGGUAAGGGCCCACCAAGGCGACGAUCCGUAGCUGGUCUGAGAGGAUGAUCAGCCACACUGGAACUGAGACACGGUCCAGACUCCUACGGGAGGCAGCAGUGGGGAAUAUUGGACAAUGGGCGCAAGCCUGAUCCAGCAAUGCCGCGUGGGUGAAGAAGGCCUUCGGGUUGUAAAGCCCUUUUGUUGGGAAAGAAAAGCAGCAGGUUAAUACCCCGCUGUUCUGACGGUACCCAAAGAAUAAGCACCGGCUAACUUCGUG